rnacentral:lncRNA from 1 species
AAUGCUCGUUAACUCAGAAAUGUCAUUCUAAAUAUCCAGACAUAGACACACAAUCUCUGUCCUCAAACAGCUUGUGACAUAAAUGAGGAGACAAGUUAAGCCCACAGAAAAUAGCCAGAGACUGUUGCACUAUUUCUUAGAAUCCACUGUGAUGCAGACUCUGAGAGGUGUGUCUUCUGGUCAUGUACUUGGGAGCUAUUUAUGCACACAUUAUGCACCUGUACUUUGCUGAGCACUCAAGUCAGAAAUUAAUAAAACACUUUGCUUUAAAGUUACUUACAGUCUGUUGAGGCAAAACUGACAUUUUCUCAAUUUUUCUCAAUUCCACUGGUAUUAAUUGAAAGCUUAGUGUCCCAGGAGUGCUCUCAAGGAAAUAAAAAAACAAACAGACAUGUUACCUUCCAUUAUGAAACUUGUACUCUAGUGAAGAGUGGGGUGGUAGUAAACAAGACAAUUUCCAGUAGUAACACGUGGUAUACAGUAACUGGGAAUGACAGUGGGGAGCUACUUUAGACUGGGUGGACAGAGAAGACCUUUCUGAGUAGUUGCCACAGGAUCUAACACCUCGUGUUGAGAAGGAGCCACCCAUUACAAGAGUUAUAAGAAAACAUUUUAAACAGAAGUAGCCUUAAGAGCAAAGGCAGAUUCUAGGAGGAUGUAGCAGUUGUCUACAACAGAAAUUAGUAAACUUUUUCUGUAAAGGACAGGAUAGUAAAUAUUUUAUGUUUUGGUUGGACAGUAUCUGUCACAGUUACUCAACUCUUCUCUUGUAACACAAAAACAGCAAUAGACAAUAUAUAAGUAACGGGCUUGAGUGUGUGCCAAUAAAACUUUAUUUACAAAAUCAGGCAGAGGGCAUAACUGGCCUGCCAGCUGUAGUUUGCCAAUCCAUGGUUUACAAUGUUAGACAAAGGACUUGCACAUACUGCAAGAUGUAGCAGACUGUGGUUUCUAAGGUGGUCAUACCGCUAUAUCCCAUCUCAAAUGCUCCAAUUACAAUGUUUUGUUGGCAUUCCUCCACCUGGAAAUGGAUUGUAUACUCCCUGUCCUUGAAUUUGAGUGUGCCUGGGACUACAGAAGAUGUGUGCCGCAUGACUUCUGAGGCUAAAUCAUAAAAGAUGAGGCAGUUUUCAUCACCUUUUUUUGGGAUUCACAGCUUAAGAGUUUUGAGCUUACACAUAGAAGAUUAAUCUCCUCUGAAUCUGCUCUGCUGGAGAGAUCACCUGGAGAACCUACAUAGAGUCCUAGCUCUCACCCAUUUCAGUCUUCCCAGCGCAAGUGCUGGCCAAGUGCGUGAAAUGAGAUGAGAAUGCAGUACCUUCUUAGGUAAUUAAUGAUUCAACAUGGUGCCUUUGCAAAAUGAAAUUGAAGCGGCUGGAAGCCUCAUUUGCAGCCAUAAGAAUUCAAAGGAC